rnacentral:rRNA from 1 species
GAUGAACGCUGGCGGCGUGCCUAAUACAUGCAAGUCGAGCGAACAGACGAGGAGCUUGCUCCUCUGACGUUAGCGGCGGACGGGUGAGUAACACGUGGAUAACCUACCUAUAAGACUGGGAUAACUUCGGGAAACCGGAGCUAAUACCGGAUAAUAUAUUGAACCGCAUGGUUCAAUAGUGAAAGACGGUUUUGCUGUCACUUAUAGAUGGAUCCCGGCCGCAUUAGCUAGUUGGUAAGGUAACGGCUUACCAAGGCAACGAUGCGUAGCCGACCUGAGAGGGGGAUCGGACACCCUGGAAGUGAGACACGGCCGAGACUCCUACGGGAGGCAGCAGUAGGGAAUCUUCCGCAAUGGGCGAGAGCCUGACGGAGCAACGCCGCGUGAGUGAUGAAGGUCUUCGGAUCGUAAAGCUCUGUUAUUAGGGAAGAACAAAUGUGUAAGUAACUAUGCACGUCUUGACGGUACCUAAUCAGAAAGCCACGGCUAACUACGUG